rnacentral:rRNA from 1 species
GCAUAUCAAUAAGCGGAGGAAAAGAAAAUAACAAUGAUUUCCCUAGUAACGGCGAGUGAAGAGGAAAGAGCUCAAAGUUGGAAACUGUUUGGCUUAGCUAAACCGUAUUGUAAACUGUAGAAACAUUUUCCUGGCACACCAGAUUAAUAAGUCCUUUGGAACAAGGCAUCAUGGAGGGUGAGAAUCCCGUCUUUGAUCUGAGUAGUUGUCUUUUGUGAUAUGUUUUCAAAGAGUCAGGUUGUUUGGGAAUGCAGCCUAAAUUGGGUGGUAAAUCUCACCUAAAGCUAAAUAUUUGCGAGAGACCGAUAGCGAACAAGUACCGUGAGGGAAAGAUGAAAAGAACUUUGAAAAGAGAGUUAAACAGUAUGUGAAAUUGUUAAAAGGGAACCGUUUGGAGCCAGACUGGUUUGACUGUAAUCAACCUAGAAUUCGUUUUGGGUGCACUUGCAGUCUAUACCUGCCAACAACAGUUUGAUUUGGAGGAAAAAAUUAGUAGGAAUGUGGCCUCUCGAGGUGUUAUAGCCUACUAUCAUACUCUGGAUUGGACUGAGGAACGCAGCGAAUGCCUUUAGGCGAGAUUGCUGGGUGCUUUCGCUAAUAAAUGUUAGAAUUUCUGCUUCGGGUGGUGCUAAUGUUUAAAGGAGGAACACAUCUAGUAUAUUUUUUAUUCGCUUAGGUUGUUGGCUUAAUGACUCUAAAUGACCCGUCUUGAAACACGGACC